rnacentral:rRNA from 1 species
GACGAACGCUGGCGGCGUGCCUAAUACAUGCAAGUAGAACGCUGAAGGAGGAGCUUGCUUCUCUGGAUGAGUUGCGAACGGGUGAGUAACGCGUAGGUAACCUGCCUGGUAGUGGGGGAUAACUAUUGGAAACGAUAGCUAAUACCGCAUAAUAGCAGUUGUUGCAUGAUAACUGUUUGAAAGGUGCAAUUGCACCGCUACCAGAUGGACCUGCGUUGUAUUAGCUAGUUGGUGGGGUAACGGCUCACCAAGGCGACGAUACAUAGCCGACCUGAGAGGGUGAUCGGCCACACUGGGACUGAGACACGGCCCAGACUCCUACGGGAGGCAGCAGUAGGGAAUCUUCGGCAAUGGACGGAAGUCUGACCGAGCAACGCCGCGUGAGUGAAGAAGGUUUUCGGAUCGUAAAGCUCUGUUGUAAAAGAAGAACGAGUGUGAGAGUGGAAAGUUCACACUGUGACGGUAUCUUACCAGAAAGGGACGGCUAACUACGUG